AGGACGGGAUGUACAUAACACUUAUAUCGCCGUAAGGUAUCAUGACACGCCCUUGGAGAGAUGUGGUGUCAAAAGUCAGUUCACAAAUUCAGUAUCGUGCGUGUCCACCAUUGACGUUGAUGCUGACGUGACAACGACAAAGCAUAGACGACACUGAGCAAUUGAAAAACGUGGAUUUAUGGUUCCUUGUUUGUCCAUAUUGGUCGUGUCAUUUGAGGUUGGAUUGGCGUCUAUAUCACAGUACAUCCUCGUGUCCCUCGUGUAUAGACAACAGGAUUUGUGUAAUGCAAUAGUUGUGAUUAAAUCAACGACGAAUCACAUCAUUCCUGAUAACAAAUAUAUACCACGUACGCCAUUCCAACGGCGGAUCUUGUCUGACAUGAUACUUAUACGAUGAACUCGGGUUGAUGUAAUCAGUAAAUACUUCCUUAACAGUU